rnacentral:rRNA from 1 species
UACGAAGGGGGCUAGCGUUGUUCGGAAUUACUGGGCGUAAAGCGUAUGUAGGCGGAUCGUUAAGUCGGGGGUGAAAUCCCGAGGCUCAAUCUCGGAACUGCCUUCGAUACUGGCGAUCUUCGAGUCCGGGAGAGGUGAGUGGAACUCCGAGUGUAGAGGUGAAAUUCGUAGAUAUUCGGAAGAACACCAGUGGCGAAGGCGGCUCACUGGCCCGGUACUGACGCUGAAAUACGAAAGCGUGGGGAGCAAACAGG